AGUCGUAACAAGGUAUCCGUAGGUGAACCUGCGGAUGGAUCAUUAACAAAGGUGUUUUUGAAGUUGUGUGAACAGUUGGAGGAGGUGGUGGUGGUGGUGGUACUGGGUGGUAUUGGGUGGUAUUGAGUGGUGUAACCUUGGUCAACCUCACUCAACCUCACUCAACCUCACUCUCCAAACCUCCACCACUCCGUCCCUAUAAUGUAUACAAACUGAUGUCUGCUAGUUUCAAACUAAAACAACUUUUAGCAACGGAUCUCUUGGCUCUC
rnacentral:misc_RNA from 1 species